CUACGGGUCGCAGCAGGCGAGGAAAUUUUACAAUGCGCGCAAGCGUGAUAAAAUAAACCGGAGUGCUUCUCUUAGAGAAGCUUUUGUCUAAUGUAAAAAGAUAGACGAAUAAGGACUGGGCAAGACCGGUGCCAGCCGCCGCGGUAAUACCGGCGGUCCGAGUCGCAUCCACAUUUAUUGGGUCUAAAACAUUCGUAGCUUGUUUUGUAAGUCUCUUUGAAAUCUCAUGUCUCAAGCAUGGGGCGGGCAAGAGAUACUGCAUUACUAGAGACCGGAAGACGUAAGGAGUAGAAUUGAGGUAGCGGUAAAAUGCAUUAAUCUUGAUUGGACUAACAAUGGCGAAGGCACCUUACUAGUACGGAUCUAACAGUGAGGGAUGAAGGCUAGGGUCGCGAAAGGGAUUAGAUACCCGAGUAGUC
rnacentral:rRNA from 1 species